rnacentral:rRNA from 1 species
GAUGAACGCUGGCUACAGGCUUAACACAUGCAAGUCGAGGGGAAACGACGGGGAAGCUUGCUUCCCCGGGCGUCGACCGGCGCACGGGUGAGUAACGCGUAUCCAACCUGCCUCUGACUGAGGGAUAACCCGUCGAAAGUCGGCCUAAUACCUCAUGGCAUCGUCUGCGGGCAUCCAACGACGAUUAAAGAUUUCAUCGGUCAGAGAUGGGGAUGCGUCUGAUUAGCUUGUUGGCGGGGUAACGGCCCACCAAGGCGACGAUCAGUAGGGGUUCUGAGAGGAAGGUCCCCCACAUUGGGACUGAGACACGGUCCAAACUCCUACGGGAGGCAGCAGUGAGGAAUAUUGGUCAAUGGGCGAGAGCCUGAACCAGCCAAGUAGCGUGCAGGAUGACGGCCCUAUGGGUGGUAAACUGCUUUUAUGCGGGGAUAAAGUGAGGGACGUGUCCUUCAUUGCAGGUACCGCAUGAAUAAGGACCGGCUAAUUCCGUG